UACGUAGGGUGCAAGCGUUGCCCGGAAUUAUUGGGCGUAAAGAGCUCGUAGGCGGCUUGUCACGUCGGGUGUGAAAGCCCGGGGCUUAACCCCGGGUCUGCAUUCGAUACGGGCUAGCUAGAGUGUGGUAGGGGAGAUCGGAAUUCCUGGUGUAGCGGUGAAAUGCGCAGAUAUCAGGAGGAACACCGGUGGCGAAGGCGGAUCUCUGGGCCAUUACUGACGCUGAGGAGCGAAAGCGUGGGGAGCGAACAGG
rnacentral:rRNA from 1 species